CCUACGGGAGGCAGCAGUGGGGAAUAUUGCGCAAUGGGGGCAACCCUGACGCAGCCAUGCCGCGUGAAUGAAGAAGGCCUUCGGGUUGUAAAGUUCUUUCGGUGACGAGGAAGGUUGUUGUGUUAAUAGCGCAACAAAUUGACGUUAAUCACAGAAGAAGCACCGGCUAACUCCGUGCCAGCAGCCGCGGUAAUACGGAGGGUGCGAGCGUUAAUCGGAAUAACUGGGCGUAAAGGGCACGCAGGCGGACUUUUAAGUGAGGUGUGAAAUCCCCGGGCUUAACCUGGGAAUUGCAUUUCAGACUGGGGGUCUAGAGUACGUUAGGGAGGGGUAGAAUUCCACGUGUAGCGGUGAAAUGCGUAGAGAUGUGGAGGAAUACCGAAGGCGAAGGCAGCCCCUUGGGAAUGUACUGACGCUCAUGUGCGAAAGCGUGGGGAGCAAACAGGAUUAGAUACCCCAGUAGUC
rnacentral:rRNA from 1 species